UACAGAGGUCUCAAGCGUUGUUCGGAUUCAUUGGGCGUAAAGGGUGUGUAGGUGGCGCCGUAAGUCGGGUGUGAAAUUUCGGAGCUUAACUCCGAAACUGCAUUCGAUACUGCCGUGCUUGAGGACUGGAGAGGAGACUGGAAUUUACGGUGUAGCGGUGAAAUGCGUAGAUAUCGUAAGGAAGACCAGUGGCGAAGGCGGGCCUCUGGACAGUUCCUGACGCUGAGGCACGAAGGUCAGGGGAGCAAACGGG
rnacentral:rRNA from 1 species